rnacentral:snoRNA from 1 species
AAGGCCCUGAAUGAAGGCCAUCGGUUUGCUGUAGCCGCUGGUUUCAAGCAGGAGCCCAGAGGAAACAUCUCCCCGUCUGUUGGCACUCCUGUCCCUGUGGAUCGGCCAAUUCGUGUGGGAGUGACAACA